rnacentral:rRNA from 1 species
ACGCUCGACACCUACGGGAGGUAGCAGUGGGGAAUAUUGCACAAUGGGGGAAACCCGUGAUGCAGCGACGCCGCGUGGAGGAAGAAGGUCUUCGGAUUGUAAACUCCUGUUGUUGGGGAAAAGAGGAUGGUACCCAACAAGGAAGUGACGGCUAACUACGUGCCAGCAGCCGCGGUAAUCUGAGCGGGCUGGCAAGGC